CGAAGUUCGUUUGCUCCCCUCCCCUUACGGCUUCGGACUGGCGGGCGCU
rfam:Pseudoxanthomonas sp. Root65 contig_3, whole genome shotgun sequence.